AUUACUGUAUGUUCACAUUUUGAUCCUGUACAAGGCUGGGUUUGUGGCGACACACUGCCUCCUAGUGGUGAGACUGCACCGGGUGACACUUGAAUGUACAGUACGUAGCCUCAACACUGUAUUUAUAGUGACUUGCUGAAUAUUGUAUGGGGACUUGCAGGAUAUUUUGUAGUGACUUGCAUGAUAUUUUGUAGUGAUUUCUAUGAUAUUUUGUAGUGACUUGCAUGAUAUUUUGUAGUGAUUUCUAUGAUAUUUUGUAGUGACUUUUGCAUGACAUGCCAUGGCCAAUUGUGUAAACAAGUGU